CUCGGCUGAUGGAGCUACAAUGACAUGCCCACCAUGCCCAGAACCACCUGGAUGAAAGGAAAGCAGCAUGGUGAUUCACUUGGCCGGUUGUUUAUUACUCAUCUAAUCCCAGCCCGGUGGCUGCAGGCCUGCCUGGAUGCCUGCGAGAUCGAUCAACUGGAGACCAGACAACAAACGACGGAGGCACCAGACGAAUGCAAUCAAACGAUGAGUUUAUUAACACAGGAGAGGCAACAUCUGCAUAUGUCGUUCUCUGACAAAAAUUCAUCAAAAACUGGUUUUAUACCAUGGAACAUUAACGCCCACACAUAUACGUCAAUACAAGUCAAAAAUACAUAGUUGACAGACAUGAGCGCAUCUUAUACAUUUUAAUAACUAUAAACAGUCAUAUAACUUCUCUUUUCUAUAACACCUGCCUUUUAAGGUAAUAAACUUCAAGCUUCGGGAUCGUUAAAAGCUAAUAAUUGACCCUCGUCACCAAUCACUAAGUAAACUGAAUUGGCGCAGGUCUCAAAAAGAGAGCAGAAGACACUUGGGCCUUCGCUCAGGCCUGCCACUAAAUUAAUAAGUGUAUUGUAAGCAUGCAUGCAAUUAACCUGCUAUGUUCUCAUCUUCCCCCAACAUGUAUCACCUGGACACUCUCACCAGUGAAGCUUAAAACCCUCUUGGAUGGAACAUCAACUCUCAACAAGCACACUGCAGCUUUUCGAUGCCGUGGAUGCGCAAAACGGUGGCUGGGCCCAAGGUUGGAAACCACCCAAGUCACUCUAAGCUGUUUGCA
ensembl:lncRNA